rnacentral:rRNA from 1 species
AUUGAACGCUGGCGGCAGGCCUAACACAUGCAAGUCGAGCGGAUGAAGGGAGCUUGCUCCUGGAUUCAGCGGCGGACGGGUGAGUAAUGCCUAGGAAUCUGCCUGGUAGUGGGGGAUAACGUCCGGAAACGGGCGCUACUACCGCAUACGUCCUGCGGGAGAAAGUGGGGGAUCUUCGGACCUCCCGCUAUCAGAUGAGCCUAGGUCGGAUUAGCUAGUUGGUGGGGUAAAGGCCUACCAAGGCGACGAUCCGUAACUGGUCGGAGAGGAUGAUCAGUCACACUAGAACGGAGACACGGUCCAUGCGCCUGAGAGAGGGACCAGAGGGGUAUGUGGGACAGUAGUGGAAAGCCUUGUGCAACGAGGGGGCGCGUGAGAAGAAGGUCUUCGGAUGGUGAAGAACGUUAAGUUGUGGUAAACGGCAGUAAGUUAAGACGUUGCUGUUGUGACGUUACCAGCAGAAUAAGCACCGGCUAACUACGUG